rnacentral:rRNA from 2 species
UAGGGAAUCUUCCGCAAUGGACGAAAGUCUGACGGAGCAACGCCGCGUGAGCGAAGAAGGCCUUCGGGUCGUAAAGCUCUGUUGUAAGGGAAGAACAAGUGCCAUUUAACUGAUGGCACCUUGACGGUACCUUGCGAGAAAGCCACGGCUAACUACGUGCCAGCAGCCGCGGUAAUACGUAGGUGGCAAGCGUUGUCCGGAUUUAUUGGGCGUAAAGCGCGCGCAGGCGGUCCUUUAAGUCUGAUGUGAAAGCCCACGGCUCAACCGUGGAGGGUCAUUGGAAACUGGGGGACUUGAGUGCAGAAGAGGAAAGCGGAAUUCCACGUGUAGCGGUGAAAUGCGUAGAGAUGUGGAGGAACACCAGUGGCGAAGGCGGCUUUCUGGUCUGUAACUGACGCUGAGGCGCGAAAGCGUGGGGAGCAAACAGG